GGCUUGCUUUCUCAAUGUUUCUGAGAUAAGACGUGCCCUAUAUUUGCAAGAACAAAGACAGCAGGUUCUGUGAUGAUUAGGUGGUUGGUUCUUUGUCCUAUAGUACUCUAAUCUCUGCAGUCGAAAUGGAUUUAUUAAGAAGUUAAAGUGGGGACCUGAAUGUUAUUCAACAACAGAACAACAAUUCAAUGUCACUCUCUAGUUGUUCUUUGAUUAUAUCCACACAUGAAAACUAAAAGAGACUGAAUACCUCACUUCUUCUCUUCAUUUAUUAUACAGACAUGGAGAAGACAGACCCUUGUGAAGUGAUGAUAAUGCUCAUUAGCUUCCGUUGUCAACUUGUCAUCUAUCAUACCUAAAAAACAGAACCAUGUGAAACUAUCUUUGUGUAUGUCUCACCCCUACUUUGAAUGGUUUCAGG